AUCUUUGCCGUUCCCUUCAGGUUUUGCCGUUUCUUAAUAAAACAGUCACCAGGGGGAAGAGCACAGGGAAGUAGCAGCUUUCUGAAUUUCUCCAUCAAUGUGUACAGUUAUGUUUGGAGAGAUCUGUGAAGCGCAGUGCGGCAGAGGGCCUCCCCCAAGCUCCUGAGGUAAAUGGAUUUUUUUAAUGGGGCUUCCUCAUAUUGACAAGCAAUUUUUCAUUAACUUGGCCAACUCUAAAUGCAGUGUCUAGCUGUUCUUUGGUAUCUAAGGAAGGAGGGCUAAUAAGUCUGUGAAACUCAUCUUGUCUAAGAUUUUUUUUUCCUGGGGAGUUUUAGACUCUGUACAUAUAUAUAUAUAUGUACGCAUAUCUGAGUUGCAAACUUAACGAAUUAUGACUCCUGAACUUAACAUUGCUAGUAAAGUUUGGCAUCUCUUAGCCAUUAGCAAAGUACCUCUUGCACUUAACAAAUACCUGGAAAUACAAUUUCCUUUUAACACACGACUUCCAAUGCCUGGGCUAGAAAUGUCAAGCAGGCUGUAUAAAGAUCAGUUUCAGUGAAUGGCUCAAUCAAGUCAUCUUGAAAACUCAUCUGUAAUUUCCUACUCAUAUCCCUCUUCUGUUAUCUUGCCUUAGUGUUCAAGUUCCUCCUUUGCCUUCAGUAUCAUAACCCCAAGUGUAUUCUAUGCAACUUUCCACACCACCAUUUCUUUACAGCUGCUAAUUAAUGAUCCCUCUGAAUAAAGCCCUCUGCUUGAACAGUUGGAGUGCCCCUCUGAAAGGCCCCUUUUGUGGGAGACCAUCUUGUGGAUCACAACAAAGACAAGGCACUUCAGAAAAGAAACUCUUUUACUUUGUAGCCACUUCUCUGUCUCAAAUUAAUUAGCACUGCUCUGUUUUCAAGUGUAAUAACACUCUGGAGAGGUGAAUGGAACCUUUCAGGGAGUAAACUACAGCACACCCUCCCACCAGCCUUGAGCAACAAAGCAGACUAUAAAGAGUGGUCAUAAGAGGUGAUAGCUGAUUAGGAGUGAGGUGGAACUCAGGUGACUGGAACUGUAAUUCACACACACCACACACACCCCAACCUCCUAAAGUAUUA